GCAGAGGCACCGGCCCCCAAUGAUGUUACUCCCCUAGGUUUGGAAGUUCUGAAAGGUCAUGGUUUUUGCUGAAGAUAAAGGUUCGAGUCAUUCUCGCCAUCGAGUCAUUCUUGCCAUUACACUUCCUACUUUCAGCAAGACAUGAUGUAUGAUAUAUAAAAUUACGUGCUUUUAAAAUGUCAUUUUGCUACACAGGAAGAGGGAAGUGAACAGAAAGCGAAUGCUACUUUGUACCUCAAGCUGGGUCUCUUUCCCCAUCAGUUCAUCGACAAUCGAGGCCAUGACUAUGUGGAAUCUGUCACCCGGACAGAAAACGUGUAACUUAGGCAUCUGCUAUAUGGAGGCCGGUGCAGAGGGCCCCACUAAACUGCUUGUCAUGUCUGAAUGUGCCUGAGAAGGACUACAGGGCCACAUGCACGUACUUUAGUUUGCAAGAAGUAAUGUGGUGUUUGCGGGCACUGGAAUAUUUUGAAAGCAUGAUAAAAAGAACAUUCCACUUAUGAAGACAGUCAGAGAAAAUCUCAUAAAUGUUUUAGCGCAGACUCUUCAAUGUGGAACUGAGAAGAUGGUUUAAUAAACACACAUUACCUUGCAAUUAAUGGCUGAAUUACUACUUCCUGAGAGCAUUAGAGACCUACUUUACUGCACUGAUGCAAUGUCUAAUGUGCACUCUCACAUUAACAAAAACUCCCUGUGAUUUACAAAAGCAGCCAAGAGAAUGAAGAUCCUAUAGUACAGUCAAUAAACAUGA